rnacentral:lncRNA from 1 species
AUGGUAACCAGCAGUGGCAUUAUGCCACAUGACCCAGAAGCAGAAGGUUUUGUGAUGCUAGAGGCCCUGAUGGUGGAGAAGACUUGGCUCGCUGAUGUCUGCAAGGAUUCCCGUCUCCUAGGGCCUUUCAUCAACAAGAAGAGGCACAUUUUUCUUUCCCCAAUCAAGACAGACUUUUCAUGGCAGACCAAUUCGGCAGUAUUCUUCCUAGAAGCUCAGUCUGAGACUGGAGUUCCACCCUAAGGCAAGAUUCUACUGCCAACUGUGCAAGAAUCUUCUGAGCAUUUAUAGGAUGUCUCCGACCAAAUGCUCCUACUCCUGGUUGAGCAUCUACACAUUAACCGCUGAUACCGCUCAUGUCUGCAGUGAUGUACUAUUCAUUUUCUCAUGUGCACAUUCUUCAACCUGCAGUCAUCCCAAGACCUGAGCUCCCCUUCUGACAUGACAUAACUGAAUUUGCUUAAGAGUUCAAUACCCAGGUGGGAUAAGGAAAUGUGAUAUCUGAAUGUGACUUUCCUGCUUAUAUUAUCUAGAAAAGGAG